rnacentral:rRNA from 1 species
GGAACGAACGCUGGCGGCGUGCCUAACACAUGCAAGUCGCACGAGAAAGGGCUUCGGCCCAAGUAAAGUGGCGGACGGGUGAGUAAUGCAUGGAUAACCUGCCUUCGAGUGGGGGAUAACCCCGGGAAACCGGGGCUAAUACCGCAUCCUGAGUCGCGGACCACGGUCUGCGCCUCCAAAGCUGGCCUCUACAUGUAAGCUGGCGCUCGAAGAGGGGUCCAUGCCCCAUUAGCUAGUUGGUGAGGUAACGGCUCACCAAGGCGACGAUGGGUAGCCGACCUGAGAGGGUGAUCGGCCACACUGGGGACUGAAACACGGCCGACGACGUACCUACGG